rnacentral:tRNA from 1 species
GGUGAUGUAGCUCAGUCAGUAGAGUGCUUGUCUGGCAUGCACAAAGGUGCCCUGGGUUGGAUCCCCAGGGCCACAU